rnacentral:rRNA from 1 species
UACAGAGGUCCCAAGCGUUGUUCGGAUUCACUGGGCGUAAAGGGUGCGUAGGCGGUCGGGUAAGUCUGAUGUGAAAUCUCACAGCUUAACUGUGAAACUGCAUUGGAUACUAUCCGGCUCGAGGAAUGGAGGGGAGACUGGAAUACUUGGUGUAGCAGUGAAAUGCGUAGAUAUCAAGUGGAACACCAGUGGCGAAGGCGAGUCUCUGGGACUUUCCUGACGCUGAGGCACGAAAGCCAGGGGAGCAAACGGG